rnacentral:rRNA from 1 species
GUGGGGAAUAUUGGACAAUGGGCGAAAGCCUGAUCCAGCAAUGCCGCGUGAGUGAUGAAGGCCUUAGGGUUGUAAAGCUCUUUUACCCGGGAUGAUAAUGACAGUACCGGGAGAAUAAGCUCCGGCUAACUCCGUGCCAGCAGCCGCGGUAAUACGGAGGGAGCUAGCGUUGUUCGGAAUUACUGGGCGUAAAGCGCACGUAGGCGGCUUUGUAAGUUAGAGGUGAAAGCCUGGAGCUCAACUCCAGAAUUGCCUUUAAGACUGCAUCGCUUGAAUCCAGGAGAGGUGAGUGGAAUUCCGAGUGUAGAGGUGAAAUUCGUAGAUAUUCGGAAGAACACCAGUGGCGAAGGCGGCUCACUGGACUGGUAUUGACGCUGAGGUGCGAAAGCGUGGGGAGCAAACAGGAUUAGAAACCCUGGUAGUCC